AUAUAUUAACAUCUAAUAGAGAAAUAGGAGAACAAGCUGUCCAUCUUUGAGGAAUUACAAUCACUAACAAUAACAAUGGUAAAGAAUCACUAAAACUCAUUGGAUAGUUGCUAGAAGUUCAUUAUGUGGCUUAUAUUAGUGCAAUUCCUUACGACCACCUUAUGAGGGAUGAAAACUGAGAAAGGAGAAAUGCACACAGGCUAGGAGAGAGAGCAGAAAACUGCCACAGGAUUCCCAAGAAGCCUAAAGAGAUGAGACAGAGCCAGCAAGAUGAUCCUGAAGAAUGAAGAUAGAACUUGAUGGUAAAAAGACAAACCCAUAAGAAUAUAUGCAAGAGGAUGCAAAUUUGUGAAGAAAAUAAAUCUCCAUGUAUAAAUGAUGCUACGGGAUUGAAGAUGUCUUCAAUAGGAAUUCAAUUAACCUGGACAGAGAAGAGUUCCCUUGUAGUAUAUUAAAUUGAAUACCUGAUUCCAGCUCAUUGAUACCUCCUCCAGAGGAAUGGCAGAGAAAGGAAGCAUUGGUAAGUCUCAU
rnacentral:lncRNA from 1 species